UCCAGAAAUUUUUGGCACGCGGCGCUCCAUGUUUCAGGACCUCACUUUUCAGAUGCGGCUUCUGCCCUCCGCCCGCAGACCGCAUCCCAGCCGGGGCCCCGGGCCCCGGGCACGUGCCUGGCCCCGCCGGCGUCCGGGCGGGGGGCGACGCACCGGCUGGGGGUGCAGACAAGGGCCACGGUCCCCCCCUUCCCAGCUUCUCCACGUCCCUUGUACUUUUCAGUUCUUGAGCCUUUGCCAUGACAAAGGCUGCUGCGUAUGUUGUAUCGUAUUGAACCUGCUCCAGAGCCUUCGAGAUGCGAGUUGUUUAUUGGAAACUGAAGGGGGGGCGGGUCAUUUGGUCCAGAGGCAGAACCUGCGUUGGAAUCUGGGGCAUCUCAGUUCCCGCUAAGCCUGGAGGUGGUCAGAUGGCUCUCUCUCAUCAGCAGCAACUGCAGGCUGGUUGGAAAUGCAGAGAAAGGGGCCUAGCGCAGACCUGCUAAAUGGGAAUCGCUGAGGGGGCGGGAGAAGAUCUGUGCUUAACAAGCGCUGAGUGACUCUCAGGCACCCUAAAAGAGCCCCUACGUCAUAGCCUUUUUAAGGGUAAGGAAAAGGAAGCUGUGUUUUUUGAGGGCAAACUCCAUGCCAGGCACUAGGGGUUAGGCAUUUUCCUAAUUCUGUGAUCUAAUUCUCCCCAAGUCUUUUUUUUUUUUUUUUUUUGCAGGAGAGUAAACUGUAGUGCAGAGGAAACUUUCCAUGUGUGUAAAACGUUAACCUUAUAUAAAAUGGUAUAAGCUUACAUGUGCUGUUUGCUUGCACCUUAUAUGCGUGAAAUAUCCCUUAGAAGGAUAUCAAGAAGUUGUUAAUGUUGCAGUUACCUCCAAGGAAAGGAGGCAGGAUGCUAGAAGGACUGAGUUGGGAAGGUUUUUUUUUUUUCUGUGAGUCUUUGUAAAUUUUGUGAGUCUGCCACAUUGUUGAUGAAAAAUUAAUUAGUAGUUGAUGGUAAGAAAGAAAUGGGAAAUUUUAUUUGAGCCAACCUGAGGGUUAUAACCUGGGAGAUACUCUUUGAGAAAGCUCUGAGGACUGUUCCACCUUGUUAGAGGUCAAAGCAGUUAUGUAAGUUUUUGAGACAAAAGGAUUAUUUGUCGAAUGACGUGUUAUUUGUCAAAUUGACAGUUUGCAAAAUCCAGACCUACGUGUACAAAGUGAGUCAUGGGUCAUGGGUAGAUCAUGGCCCUUUACCAGAUUAAGAAGGAUGGUUAUCUCCUAAAGAGAUAUGACUCUUUAUGAGAUUAAGAAAGAAUGUUAUUACCUAAGGAGGUCUGGUUAAUGCAAUUGGACAACAUACACUAGUGGGGAGGGAGGAGGCCCAAACAGGCAGAGAAAAAAACUUUUAAAAAAUUUUCUUGUCUUGCCAUAAGAUAUGAAUGUUAUUUCAUCAUAUGAAUCUGUAUCUUAUUCCAAGUAAAAUUAAACAGGUAAAAAUUUUACUUAGAACGAUAUUAGAGCUGAAACCAGAAUUGGAAUUCAGUGCUGGCUGACUGCAGAUUCCAGGUUUUCCAUUGACUGCACAUGACUGACUUUUAAACAUAAAAUGUUCUAUAAAUUUGAGAUAUUGUUAAUAAUGAAAUAUUACUUAGAAAUUUAGUUUGUUUUUAACCUUUGAACAAUGACCAUGUCUAAUUCUGGUCCCUUCAUGACAUAUUGUAUGGUGCAUGAAAUUGUUCUUAUUUUCAUUAUUGGUAACAGCUAUAAAAUAACCGUAAAACAGACUGUAAAUGUAAUGCCUAGUCUCUGAGAAAUAUUGAUGUCAUUAAUUGAUAAUUGCAAAGGGAUUUGAGCUCUUUCAGUAGAGAUGGCUAAGUGCUGUUAUUCCAGAGACUAAUCAUUGCGAAUAAUUUUAUCAGUGUAUUUAUCUAUGAGGUUCCAUUUACAAUUAAUUAUGUAUAAGUGAUGCUUUUUAAUUUUUAUUACAGGAAUCUAUGUCUAAAAUAUAUGAAGAACAUCCUGGGUUGGGAUUCUGAUCAUUUAUUCUGCCACUCUUCGUGGGAAAUUGCAAAGGCAAUUCAGGGCUGUGUGGCUUUGGGCAUGUUACUUAACCUUUUAGUGCUUCAGUUUGUUCAUCUAUUGAAACAGAGCUCGUGAAAGUACUUGCCUUAGAGGCUCAUUAUGAGGAUAAAUUGAGUCAAGUCUGGACAGGUCAAGCUUUCCCAAGCUUGUGGAGGAAAGCAGGACAGAGGGAUUCCUUUCCAGCUUCCGUCUUUAUGGCUCCUGCCUUAUCCUGCUGAUCUGGCAGUGGCCAGUGAACCUGGGCCUGGCCCCCCGAUGCUCUGGAGGACUUCAUUACUGACAUCUGCCGUGGCCAGAUAUUCCAAUUUAAUAAAAAGGUAUUCAUAAUGUUCCUGGUUUCUGGGAAAUUCGGCUGCCUGAUCACCGCACCUUAUCAGCACUGAAGGUUCUCAGGAUCUGAGCCUUUGCCUAGUAACUUCCUAAAAGACUCCAGUUGCAAAGGAAUGAAUUCUGCCAGCAACUUGAGAGAACUUGAAGAUGGAUCCUCCCCUGGUCAAACCUCCAAAUGAGAAUGCAGCCUGGUUGGCACCUGGAUUCCAGUCUUAUGGGACCCUGAGCAGAGGACCCAGUUAGGCCAUGCUCCGGCCUGACCCACAGACACUAUAAGUGCACAAAAGCAUAAUGAAGAAAAAACACAUGGGUGACUAUCUUCUUAAUUUUGGGUUAUCAAAAAAUGUAAUUUGAUCAUUCAGAGUCAAGAAGUACUAGAAAAUGACUUCCCUGAUGGUGCAGUGGUUAAGAAUCCACCUGCCAAUGCAGGGGACACAGAUCCCUGGCCUGGGAAGAUCCCACAUACUGCAGAGCAACUAAGCCCAUGCGCCACAACUACUGAGCCUGCGCUCUAGAGCCCACAAGCCACAACUCCUGAGCUCGAGUGCUGCAACUCCUGAGGUCCGCACACCUAGAGCCCAUGCUCCGCAACAAGAGAAGCCACCGCACUGAGAAGCCCGUGCAUCACAAUGAAGAGUAGCCCCCGCUCGCUGAAACUAGAGAAAGCCUGUGCGCAGCAACGAAGACAUAAUGCAGCCAAUAAAUAAAUAAAUUUAUUUUAAAAAAUUCUGUCUUACAGCCUCCACAGGGAACCAACUCUGCCAACACCUUGAUUUGAGGCUUCUAGCCUCCAGAACUGUGAGGGAAUACAUUUCUUUUAAGUACCCCAGUUUGUGGCAAUUUGCUACUGGCAGCCCUAGGAAAAGAAUACAGCCCCAUCUUUCCAUGAAUCUCCAUGUAUACGCUAUGACUUCUUUUAACCUUUUUUCUUUUCAAACUUUCCAGUGAUGAGCAUGCAUUAUGCUUGUAAAGAGAAAAUAAACUUUAUUAAGAAAGAGGGUGAGGAUGUGAAAAUGCAAAGCUGGAGGAAAAGGAAGACCACUCAGAGUCUGGCAGAGGUGGGUGCAUGUGACUCUGUGCUCAAGGCUGAGAUGCACAUGGGUUAGCUCUCAGGAUGAGAGACCAAAACCACCUGUGUCAACAAGAUUGCUGUGUAUUCCAGAAAGUUGUACAGGAAGAUACAA